rnacentral:rRNA from 1 species
UGGGGAAUAUUGGACAAUGGGCGCAAGCCUGAUCCAGCCACGCCGCGUGAGUGAUGAAGGCCCUAGGGUUGUAAAGCUCUUUCACCGGUGAAGAUAAUGACGGUAACCGGAGAAGAAGCCCCGGCUAACUUCGUGCCAGCAGCCGCGGUAAUACGAAGGGGGCUAGCGUUGUUCGGAUUUACUGGGCGUAAAGCGCACGUAGGCGGACUUUUAAGUCAGGGGUGAAAUCCCGGGGCUCAACCCCGGAACUGCCUUUGAUACUGGAAGUCUUGAGUAUGGUAGGGGUGAGUGGAAUUCCGAGUGUAGAGGUGAAAUUCGUAGAUAUUCGGAGGAACACCAGUGGCGAAGGCGGCUCACUGGACCAUUACUGACGCUGAGGUGCGAAAGCGUGGGGAGCAAACAGG